UACGGGGGGGGCAAGCGUUGUUCGGAAUUACUGGGCGUAAAGGGCUUGUAGGUGGCCAACUAAGUCAGACGUGAAAUCCCUCGGCUUAACCGGGGAACUGCGUCUGAUACUGGAUGGCUUGAGUGUGGGAGAGGGAUGCGGAAUUCCAGGUGUAGCGGUGAAAUGCGUAGAUAUCAGGAGGAACACCGGUGGCGAAGGCGGGAUCCUGGGCCAGUACUGACGCUGAGGAGCGAAAGCGUGGGGAGCAAACAGG
rnacentral:rRNA from 1 species